AUUGAACGCUGGCGGAAUGCUUUUACACAUGCAAGUCGAACGGCAGCACGGGUGCUUGCACCUGGUGGCGAGUGGCGAACGGGUGAGUAAUACGUAGGAACAUAUCCUGUAAUGGGGGAUAACGCACCGAAAGGUGUGCUAAUACCGCAUACGCCCUGAGGGGGAAAGCGGGGGAUUCGAAAGAACCUCGCGUUAUUGGAGUGGCCUACGGCUGAUUAGCUAGUUGGCGAGGUAAAGGCUCACCAAGGCGACGAUCAGUAGCUGGUCUGAGAGGAUGAUCAGCCACACUGGAACUGAGACACGGUCCAGACUCCUACGGGAGGCAGCAGUGGGGAAUUUUGGACAAUGGGGGCAACCCUGAUCCAGCCAUUCCGCGUGAGUGAAGAAGGCCU
rnacentral:rRNA from 1 species